rnacentral:rRNA from 1 species
GACAGAGGGGGCAAGCGUUGCUCGGAAUCACUGGGCGUAAAGGGCGCGUAGGCGGGAUGGCAAGUCAGUCGUGAAAUCUCUCGGCUCAACCGAGAAACGUCGGCUGAUACUGCCGUUCUUGAGGGAUGCAGAGGAGACUGGAAUUCCUGGUGUAGCGGUGAAAUGCGCAGAUAUCAGGAGGAACACCGGUGGCGAAGGCGGUUCUCUGGGCAUUACCUGACGCUGAGGAGCGAAAGCAUGGGGAGCGAACAGG